GCUUUCCGCCCUGCUGGAAACAUUGCCUGAGAUGAGAAAGAGACAAUUUCAGUCAUUGUUUCUGGUAGUGCGAGCAGC
rnacentral:pre_miRNA from 1 species